GACUUCGGGUCCCGGUGUGGUCUUUCACAGUGAGUACUCACAGGGCUUCUGAACCCCCUGUUCGACGUUGGCCGAAUCGGCCAGCAAUCUACGAGGACGAGGAGACCCAUGUGUAGGGGUGACACUCAGAGCAUUCCAUGCUCGUAACCCUGAGCAACUUCUCCAGCUCCCAACCAUCUUGAUAACCGCAUGUUCCUGGUGCAGUUCUUUGUCCUGGGACACAAGAACCUGGUACUUCAGCCUGUGUCCUUUGUCCCCCAGGGAACUCAGGGCAGGGCCAGGUUUGAGGCUCAUAUCCUAGAAGCCUGCCCCCGAAGACAUUGGAUUCAGGAAGCCCCUUUUUCUUCCUGUGCCACUGUGAUCCUCAACGCAGGUUGAGAAAAGUCACCUUUAUUGUCUUCGGCGAGAGCAAGGUGGGGGAGGGGUGGCCAGAGGGCAGGGGCCAUUCUGAGGUCACAAUUGUCCUCUUGCCCAGCCAAGAAAAGUGGGUCUGCUGACGCUGUCCAUCUCCAAGAGAGAGGGAUUCACUCUGAGGCCUUCAUGUCCCCACCUCUCUAGGUCCCCAGCCCUGGCCACCUCCUUUCUCCAGAGCCCCCCCAUGGCCUGCCCAAAAGUCUAGGUGAGGACCAGCCACUCAGUCUUCAGGCCACAUCGUGUGGUCAAGACCUUGCUGGUUAGGCCGCGCAGGCCUGAAACUGACUUCACAUCCUCCGCAGGGCGAGUCAGGAGGGGACCGCGCUCCUGGCUGGGGCAGGUGUGGAAGGCCGGGGCUCACAUGGAUCUGUCCAUCCUGAUUCUCCUUCUGCUGUUACUGCUGCUGUUACUAGGUCGAUUAAGGCGCGAAUACCGGCUAAGCACCACAGCUCACCCAAAAGGGAGAAAAAGAUACUCAGGAGAUCCAGCCAGCGGCCCACGGUCAUCAACAGAAGGAAGAGGCCACCCAUGCGCACCAGCACCGUCUGGACCUGGCCCUGUAGGCUGAAGCGAUGUUGCCACUGCUCCUCUGUGGGACGCGGUUGUCACUGUCUCAGCCGGCACCUUCUGGAGAUCAGCUGGGGCCAGCCUGUUUCACUUCUCAGCUGCCUUCCCCGGGGAUCUUGUCAGCUUCCCUGACUGCCUUCCCACAGCCCUGCUUCUGUCUCUGGGCACCUACAGGACUUCUUACCCACCCUUAAGUUUCCCCCUGGUUGAGGACAGAGCCCUGCCAGUCGAUGGCAGGAAUCUAAGGUUCUCCCCCUUUCUGCCUGUCAGUUUGAAUCAUCCGCAGCUCAGUUGGCUUCUGCCAGUCUCUCUCUUGUUCCAUCCUGGUCCCAGCCACCUUCCCCUCUUGCCGAAGCUCACUCAUCAAGGCGCCUGAGUUUUGUUCCCGACCAAGCUCUACUGACCAUCUAAAGCGACCUAAACACACCAAUAAGAUGACACCAUCCCUCUGCUUUUAGAGAACUCUAAUGGAAGUCUUGUUUUCCACAGUCAAACUUGACUUGGUCCCGUCUCUCCAUCCUCAUCCGAUCUGUGUUCCCCUUCCUUAGAAAGACAGCAGUCCUGGUUCCUCAUUUCGUACACAGAGACUGCCAAGUCUAUCCCUGCCUCAGGGUCUUCACAGCUACUGUUCUUACCGCUUGGACCACCCUUCCCUGCUCCUCCACUUGCGACUAACUCCCAUUCUGCAGCCAGGUGCCUCUUCCUAGUGGCCAGAUCUGACCAGCCACUCUCUCCUGCAUAGGACCCUGCCCAGCUUGGUUGGCCAGGGCUCUGGAACGGGCCUUUCUGAAUUUAUAGCCAGCCUUGACUAUAAUCCCUAUGGUCCUUGGGGGGACAACCCUAAACCACACGCAGUGGUGCAUGGCCACACCUUCACUCUGUGCUUU
rnacentral:lncRNA from 1 species